rnacentral:rRNA from 1 species
UGCAAGUCGAACGGAGGUUGCAGCGAUGUAGCCUUAGUGGCGAACGGGUGAGUAACGCGUUGGUGACCUGCCCCAAAGCGAGGGAUAACAGAUCGAAAGGUCUGCUAAUACCGCAUGAGGUCUUGAAGGUUAGAGGCUUGAAGACGAAAGCAGCGAUGCGUUUUGGGAGGGGCCUGCGUCCCAUCAGCUAGUUGGUAAGGUAAAGGCUUACCAAGGCGACGACGGGUAGGGGACCUGAGAGGGUGACCCCCCACACUGGCACUGAAACACGGGCCAGACACCUACGGGUGGCAGCAGUAGGGAAUAUUGCACAAUGGGCGAAAGCCUGAUGCAGCAACGCCGCGUGCGCGAUGAAGGCCUUCGGGUCGUAAAGCGCUUUUCGGGGAGAAGAGGAAGGACGGUAUCCCCGGAAUAAGGAUCGGCUAACUGCGUGCCAGCAGCCGCGGUAAAACGUAGGAUCCGAGCGUUAUCCGAAUUCACUGGGCGUAAAGCGCGUGCAGGCGGUACGGUAAGUUGGAUGUGAAAUCUCCUGGCUCAACUGGGAGAGGACGUUCAAUACUGUCGAACUAGAGGGCGGAAGAGGGAGGUGGAAUUCCCGGUGUAGUGGUGAAAUGCGUAGAUAUCGGGAGGAACACCAGAGGCGAAAGCGGCCUCCUAGGCCGCACCUGACGCUCAGACGCGAAAGCUAGGGGAGCAAACGGGAUUAGAAACCCCGGUAGUCCUAGCCGUAAACGAUGUAGACUUGGUGUUGGAGGUGUAAAAACCGCCGGUGCCGAAGCAAACGCGAUAAGUCUACCGCCUGGGGACUACGGCCGCAAGGUUAAAACUCAAAGGAAUUGACGGGGGCCCGCACAAGCAGCGGAGCGUGUGGUUUAAUUCGAUUUACGCGAAGAACCUUACCCGGGUUUGACAUGCAGGAGGUAGGGAACCGAAAGGGGACCGACCCGCAAGGGAGCCUGCACAGGUGCUGCAUGGCUGUCGUCAGCUCGUGUCGUGAGAUGUCCGGUUAAGUCCGGUAACGAGCGCAACCCACGUCGUAUGUUACAAGUGUCAUACGAUACUGCUGGUAUAAAGCCGGAGGAAGGUGUGGAUGACGUCAAGUCAGCAUGGCCUUUAUGUCCGGGGCUACACACACGCUACAAUGGCCAGUACAAUGGGUAGCAAAGCCGCGAGGUGGAGCCAAUCCGCAAAGCUGGUCACAGUUCAGAUUGUAGGCUGCAACUCGCCUACAUGAAGUCGGAGUUGCUAGUAACCGCGCGUCAGCAUUAGUGCGGUGAAUACGUUCCCGGGCCUUGUACACACCGCCCGUCACGUCAUGGGAGCUGGCAACACCUGAAGCCGGUAGCCUAACCGCGAGGAAGGCGCCGUCGAAGGUGGGGCUGGUGACUGGGACGAAGUCGUAACAAGGUA